rnacentral:lncRNA from 1 species
CAACGCCACUUGGGACGGCCUCAACACCGCUGCCUCCACCCACAGCUGCUCCAUUCCCCGAACUCUCCGCAACUGACCUCCUUGGUCACGAUGGCUCUUUGGUGUUGAGCAAGAUGGGCGGCAACCAGGCAUUGAUGCAUGCUCAGGGUCAGGUUGCUCUCAAGCAAGCUGCACUGGGAAUGGGCGCUGGUGCCAGCCAGGCUAUCUACGAUGGCGGGUUCCAAAAUGUUAGUGCGGCACAGCAGUUCAUGUACUAUUAGUGAUUGGAUUCCUCCAUGGACUCCGUUGAUCUUCUGAAGCUUUUCCUUUUGUGGAUCAGACACUUUCUUUAAUACUUCCACUAUGUCUCAAUUUGGUCACAUGUAAUUGUAUCACUGCAGAAGUACGAUGUAGACAUGGAAUGCCCAUAGGGUUUGAUGAGACUACAUGGGGAGUCUUUUAACCUAUAUGUCCUCCCCCCUUCUCCCUUUUUUGUUCCUAUUUUUUAGAUCUCGAGGGGACACUCAUUGGUGUUGUAGUUUCUAUAUGAUUUGGUCUUAAUACUACAUCUGUAUAUUGUAGAUCCUUAAAUUUAUAAUGGGUACUCGUGAAAGUAAUGUGGUUGAGAAAGGAAUAUGUUAAUGAUACUAUUGUCGCAAUACGUAUUUGUGUAUGUGUUUUAUAGGCAAUCUGGCUCUUGUGGUAGCAUAGUAGAUGAAGCAAUCCAUGGAGACCACACGAUAUUUGUAUGCAUAUUAAUCACCACUAUCUAUGUGCCAAAUCAGCAUUCGACGGUGAAUAGUCCCACAUCGCUGUAUGUCCAAAUAGCCGGGUUCGAAGACGCUAUAAAAUGGGUCUCAGUGCGUCCCAGUAACUCGUACUUAUUUCGGCCUUUUGGCUGAGAUCAAGUGUAGUAUCUGUUCUUACCAGUUUAUCUGUGAAGGAUCGUUAUGUGCUGAGACGUCACAAUCUUCGUGAACAGUAGUUUCUAUACUCAGUAUCUACGCAUUAAACUCAUCAGAAAGCUUUCUCUACAUGUCGACAUUCUCGUGUUUAUGACACCACGAUGCACGUAAAGAAGAAUUGAUCGCCGGAGUAGGGGGAGGUGGCGAUCUCCUCCGACGGCUUCGGGGCUCCAGCGCCGCGUUUCUCCUGGUACUCGUCGCUCGUGAUCUGCCGGUAUCGGCACUCCGAGCUGCAGAAUGCCUUCUCUCUGCGGCAGAAGUUGCACCUCCAUCGGUACAUGUUGUAAUUGAUAGAGAGAGGUUAGGUAGGAGAAGGAAUAGAUUGGCGUCUGACCUACCUGUACAUGAAGAUAUCUUUCCCAUGUAGAUUCUUCCUGCACAGGAAGCAACUGCUGAGGAAGUCGGCGACCCCAAAAUGUUCUGCGGCCGGUGGCGGCAAGCGGCAAGAAGCUGGUCGCUUCCGGUGCAAUUCGCCGCUGCACCCCGGCCCGGCCACUUGAGGACCGCUCGCUCUCGGAGAACGGAUCGCAAUGGGGGCCGUCACGCGGAGCCACCUGGGGCUGUCCCCGCCGGCCUUCUCGAGCGCCACCGCGAUGCCAAGCCCGACGCCGUCGGGGUCGCGAUUCCUCCACCCCCUGGGAGACUGCGGGUUGCGCUCGGCUGCGCCGCCGAUGAGCCACAUCCGAUCACAGAGACGGAUCGGGUCCGGCAGCUUUGGGACGGUCGGACGGGGCUGGUGCACCAUGCCGGCCUGUGUCAGCUGGGAGAGGCGGAGGAAAACGGCGUCCGCUCUGCGAUGCUUUAGAAGACCUCCUCUCCAAGCCACCCACGCUGCGUCUGCUUCGAUCCUUUUUCGUGCUUUUGUCGUUUGUCGAUUGUUUAGUUAUUUCUCACAGGAAUGUAAAAUAGCUGAAUUAUUGGGCGAUGAUUUGGCUGCACAAAACCAUGGCCUGAGCAGAAGAAAAGGUGGGCGAUUUAGCUGAUGGAUGGAUGGCUCGCAGGAGACGUCGGGUCGUGGCGGGAAUCCACCUCCCAUGAUGUCGACCGCGACAGCGAUGAAGCACAGCGAGCGACACGCGUCGGGGAGGAUCGACGUGAUGGGUGAAACGAUAUGGUCGGAUGACGAAAAUACCCUUUUCCAUGACGUCAACGCGCUCGAGUGUAGUCGAGUAGAGUCGAGUGGAGUGGAGUGGGUGGUCGAAGCAAUCAACGCCACCAACCCUUUGGUGCUGGGCGAUGGGUCCCACAGUCCCGGGAGCACACAACCAAACAAAAGGGCGAGGAAGGAAUCAGAACCCUCUGGUUGUGUCGCACUCACAUGCAGCCUCACACGCUCGGGCGGUUCUCCUUCUCACCAGCCACGCGACGAGGGUGUUGGCCCAGAGGACAGCACACGGAACGCCUCGAUAGGACGUCGAAACCUUGGCGGGCCCCCCACCCACCCACCAACUGCCUGCGAUCGCAUGGGCCGCGACGUGGCUCCCCCUAAACGAUGUGUGGUCGCUUUCCAGCCAAUCAGGUGGUGGGUCCUCAGCGGGCACCGCCGAUAGGGAACCACCUGAGCCCAGCGACAGCGGACAAGGGUGGUGGACCACAUUACCAUUGACAUGGACCAGGGUCCAGGAUUCUCGAUCAAUCGGCGAAAAUCCUGAAUCCUGCCGUGGCUCAAUCAGGCGAGCCCAUAUACGACCGGGAAGAAAUAAUGUCCCAUGUCGGUCAUGCCAUGCCAUCGAAAUGGCUUCUAAAGGUACGGUAGUGAUUUAACUGAUGCUCGGACGAUCAGAUCAUUCGAAUUUUGAUUUCCUGAAUGGUAUUAUUUAUUUCCACUUUUUGAAUCAUGAAGACACACACACACACACCACCUGAGAAUCAAUUUGGAGGUAAAUAAAAAGGAGUGCAGAUUGAAUGAGGGGUUGUUUCCAGAAAGAAACGCAAUGUCAUCAAUUAUAUUGCGAAUUGUUUGAUGAUAUAUAUUUCUUGCUAACUUUGUCGUUCUCGACUGGUUUAUACAAGCAGCACAUUGUGACUAAAUCCAUCAAGAAAUAUUCAUGGAAGUGAAACCCCACUGUAAUUUAAUGAUCUCCUUCGUCAUUUAUGUAGAGCCACAACUAAUGGGAUCAAGUUCUGGUGGGGCUUGUUUCUUUUGUUUACAUGCGUUCAUGCAGCAUACUAAUUAUGGAGCUGAAUUCCUAUGGGCCACUUGCACAUGGUUUUGCAAUUCUUCCGGUGAGUGGAAUGGAGAAAGAAAUAGAAACUAGAAGAACAGCAGAAAAGAAGGCGACAAAACUGCACUAUAAGAUCAAGUGGACACAAGAAAGUGGAGUCGAUCGCCUAAGAUGCAUGCACCUAUUAAAGCAGUUUACAGCUUUCCUGAACUCAAACCAGAGGUUAUGGAGUGGACUUUAAUGCUUGCAGCACAACAUCAGAGGCAUACUUCGAACACUGCAAAUAGACUUUGAUAGGCGCAUGGAAGUUUUCAGACCAUCUCCAAGCCACAUUGCUGUGGCAUGUCUUGGCUCGGUCCCUGAUGGUUGUUGAUAUUGUUCAUGAUCACACUAAAAUAUCAGAAAGAAUUAGUAACAUUAGAGGCAUACCUUGAUCACAGCAAAUGCAGAUUUUGAUAGGCAUAUACGAGUUCAGAGACCCUCUCAAAGCCACAUUGAUAUUGUUUAUAAUUACACUAAAUGAUCAGAAAGGAUUAGUAAUACCGAAUACUUGUUUUAAGCAUCUGACAGCUCAAAAUGGCAAUAAAAGAAAAUGAAAAUUUCAUACCAGCCAGUGGAAGUAUCAAGGAUAAUAACUUGAUUAAGGUUUCAAGGAAUGUUGCAGGGUAGAUACUAAACAGAAGUUAAACCAAAACUUUAAUCCAUUUGGCAUAUCUUAUGCAGUAACAACAGCAAGAGCAUUCUUCAUCACUCUAACGGGUGGUUGGUAAUCUUUUUAUUUUGUUAUGAUUCUCAAACUAGUAGGUUAUUCGAUCUACUUUUGGGUAUUCUUUGCAGUCUGAUACCAUGAUUGGUACGCAGAAUCUUAGUUGUUAAAUAUGACAAACAAUAUAAGUUUGGAUCUGCUUCUUUACUUAGAUGUGUUCACGAAGCCCAAAUGUUUAAUUAUGAGGAAGCUAAAUUCAUGUGGACCAACUUGCACAUAAUACAUUGCAACUCUUCAAGCUCCAUGGUGAUUGGAGUGGAGAAAGAAAUGAAAAAUAAUGAAAAAAGAAGGCAACAGAAUUGCGGGAUAAGACCAAGUGGAACAACGAACUCUAUGCUAAUUAAUGCAGGACAUAAAUAAGAAAGAAAAGUCAAGCAACUAAGCUGCAUGCACCAAUUAAAGAAGAAGUUCGCAACUCUCCUGAAUUCAAACAUUAAGAUGAACAGAAUAAACUGAGACCAGAGCUUAGUUGCAGGAGAAGACCAAGUUGACCGAUGAACUCUAUACAAAUUAGUGCUGGACAUAAGAAAGAAGAAUUAAGCAAAUAAGAUGCAUGCACCAACUAAAGAAGUUUACUACUUUCUGAAUUCAGACAUUAAGAUGAGCAGAAUAAACCAAGACCAGAGAUUGUGGAAUACUUUGAUGCUUACAGCAUAGCAUCACAGGUCACAGGCAUGCCUUUGAAUACUACAAAUAGGAUACAGAAUUUUGAUUGGCAUGUCGGCUAGUUUUGAUGCAUAUCAUUGUUUAAAUCUCCUCCAUAGCCAAAGGAGUUACUAUAUAAACAAAGAAUGAGGCUUGAAAUUAAUUAUGCCAAAGAUCACAAAUAAAUAACAACAAUGACUGGUUUUUUAAGCAUCCGAUGACUCAAAAUGACAAGAAAGGAAAAUGAAAAGUAUCAGUACCAGCUAGUGGAAGUAUCUACAUUGAUAACUUUGGUUAGUGUUUUAAGGCUUAAGGAGUGUUUGAAAUGUAGGUACUAAUCAGGAAGUAUACCACAAUUUGUAUCAAUUUGGCACAUCUUAUGCAGUAAUAUCAGCAAUUACAUUCUAUGUCAAUUGGAGUGGUUGGUGACUGAUCCUCUUUUUAUUUUCUUUAAAUAUUCAUACUAUAUUUCUUCUGUAGUUAUUGUAGUCCUAUAUUAAGAUUACCAUUCAGAAUCAAUCGUUGAAUGUGAUAAGUGCUUGUGAUGUCAAUGACAAGCACGCAGGGUAUGUAUAUAUAUAUGUAUAUGUAUAUGUAUUAUGUAUUAUGUGUAUGUGUAUGUGUAUGUGUACGUGUAUGUGUAUGUGUAUAUGUUAUUUCAUUUUAAUUUCCUUUAUAUCUAAUUGCAUCACUAGGAUAGCUACUGCAUUAAUUUCAAAAAAGCAUGGAAAAUUCCAUUGUUUUCAUUGCCAGGUGGGUCACAACUAUUAGGCUUUGGUAUGGAUCCGAACCAACUGGAUGUAUCUGUUUUAAGUUUCAAACUGUAGAAUAUGCGACCAAAUUCAAGUCAGAUUAUGGGGGGUCGAUGACACCCUUGCUGAAUCGGUUGUUUGCCUUGAGCUAAAAACUUUUUGCAGAUAUACAUAGGCUUAAGAUAAGAGGACAAAUUAGCUCAUUAUAUAAUCCAUGAAGUAGCUUAGAGAUGAGAGAGGAAAGCACAAAGAGACUCAAAUGCAUCUUGAGCAACUUGGUGUUGGUCCAUCCAACUCAUAUUAAAUGACAUGUACAUCUAAAGCCAAGGUGGGAAUCUUGAGUUAAAACACGAUGGUUCAGUCUGACCUACCUUUUUAGAAUGAUCUGUUGGGUUCUCAGGACAUCCUUUAUACAAAAACAAACUUCAUUGUCUUGUCUGAUGUGUACUGGUAGACCAAAUAAUAUGACUUGUGGGCUUUCACUAUUUCCAGGCAUGCAUUGAUUGGCAAACAUCAGUGCCUCACCAAUCCGACUACUAAAGUAUUUAUGUUGUAUUCUAAGACAAAUAUCAACUUAAGGCUACCAGAAUUUAACGGUGUGUACCUCCUCAUACGCUUCAAAUGUAGCUAUUCAACUAGCCCAUAUUCUAGAAAGAUUCCAGUAAAGUGAAAAGACAUUAUAAUCUGUAAAAAACGCUUUUCACGGAUCCAAAGAAUGAAAAAAAGACAAUAUCAAAAGAAUGGUGCAGUGAGACACUGAAAGGUGCCGAUUCGAACUAAGAUUUGCAAUAUGAUAACAUUUAUCAUACUUGCUGUGACGUAGCAGGUAAAAGAUAUGCACUAGUAGAAAUUGUUUUAGCUUUGUUAAGAUUCAUUACCCCAGCGGCUGAAACAUUAGAACAGCCCCAAACUGAUGAUUUGAGGCCCAAAUGUUGAUGUGGUCUCUGGACACUAAUCACACAAGAAAUUAAUACAGAAAGCAAAUACGGACAAAAUACUUGCAAACAAAUAAAUUUCCAAAAGGAAAAAAAUGCUAUUUAGAUGGAUGAAAUCACCCCUGAAAAAGGAAAGCACGUGUGACAAACAUAUCUCACAUAUCUGAUAUGUGCGGUGCAUCGACAUGGGCCGCGUUGAACAAGUCAAUGACAGGUGAUAUCAUUGACUUCAACAAAAGAACAAGUUGAUUUCAGACAAAGAUUAGGCCAUUAAUUUAUCCGUAAACUGUUUUUUCGACUCCUGAGUGACCGAUCAAAUCAAAUAGUACCAAUAAUGCAAGCCGCAAUAUGUACAAAACAAACUCGUUUGUUUAGGCACCAAUCUAACAUCAACUCGUUUGUUUAAGCACCGAAGACUUGGGAAUCCCAGAAGAAACAUAUGCGAAACUAAUAGAAUCACACGCGCCCCAGUUCCUCUCAGGGUUCCCAAAACUAACACAUCAAACGUUUUGCGGCUAUAAUCAAUGUUGAGUCUGAGAAACACAUCACGAUCUACGAAAAUUCAAGAUUUGCAUCAUCGGGAAGAGAAUUACCAGCACUGUUUGCAACGCCCUACGCAUCUCUGCAAUCGUCGGUCACUCCUCCAGAAAACGUUCGAUUCAUCCCAAUCUAGUCCGACCGCUCGUUACUCCGAAUUGGGAUCUUAGGAAAAAAAAAGACAGAGAGCGAGCGAGAGAGCCAGGAAUCGAACUCCUUCGUCGAAUAAAUAAUCAUUCUGAUGCCCGAUUUCGAUCCUUGCGUCGGGCAUGGACGAAAGCUCGAUCGGGAAAUAGCUGAAGGGGUUUUCUGCACGAAAUUAGGGUUUUCCUUUCGCCAAAACGGAUAAAUCAGCCAAAUGACAUAAAUACCCUAUUUUCAAUUGGCCGCGAAGGGCGUUACUGUAAUAUAAAAAAUGCGAAAUUGACCGUAAUGUGGCAUGAAAAGAAAUUUGAAUGAUUUAAUAUAAUAGAAAGCUGUCAGUCAACUAUAUCUUAAUUAAUAUAGUUGGGGGGGCUUCGGGCACCUUUUGGACCGGUAUUUCAAUUGACCGGCAAAAGAGAAACGUGGGUUCGAUGGGCCGAAAUUGGAACUCAUUUCUGACAUCAAAGCCAAAGUGCCAUUCCACGUUCAUUCAUCAGACCAGUAGCGGUCGAAGCCAACGAAACGUGUUGGAUUUGGAGACAACGAAGACUCUUGGGUUUGCUCGCUGCUUACUCACCGCAUGCAUGCGGCAAUGCUCUGUCUCGUGAUGGCAAAUCACGUAGUUAGUUCCUCCAUGCGGGAAUCAAAAUGGGAAUUUGGAAAUUACAGACAAAAUUGGGGGGUUCUUUUUUUUUGUUGUUGAAAUAAGCUAUAUGAUCUUAUUUUUUUGCGGCUCCCAUCAAUCAAUCAACCAACAAAUCAAUAGAUCAAGAGCAGAUAUAUAGAGGAAACAAGUGUGAAACCAAUCUUUUUUUCUACAUGACGCGUUAGGUUUUCGGCUUCGGUGACGUAAAAUUGGCUUCUUGUUCCAUGUCGCAGACCAGCAGAGGCAUCGAGGAAACUACUACCGCCGCCUCCCAUCCUGUGUCCAAAAGCAGCCUCAAUAGCAUCAGGAAGGCAUCGUAGUUGCUAUCCGGAACAGUAGUGCAAUGUCAUCUCCUCCACGCACGUACAGAGCCCCCAUGACCUUUCUCAUGCCACACCGUCCAGUAGUUUCGGAUCCCCCCGCAUGGCAACAAGGACGGCUCAUCCACACGACCGUGGACCUCUUUCCCCUGCCGCCGAAUUCAACGCCUCUGCUCUCCUACAAGUACUCGCGCACUCCUUCCUACUGCUAUCUUGCCAACGCACGACUCCGGGAGGGGAGGCAUCGUGUGUUCCGGCUGAGGAUGGAAAAGCAGGAGAGUAGCAAGGAGGUGGCGCCGAGGUACAAGGGGGUACGGCUGAGGAAGUGGGGCAAAUGGGUGGCGGAGGCGAGGUACCCCAACAGCCGGGAAAGGCUGUGGCUCGGCUCGUUCCCGUCGCCCGAGAUGGCAGCGAUGGCAUACGAUGCGGCCGUGUACUGCCUGCGCGGCCCCGGGGAGGCACUCAACUUCCCGGACCAUCCGCCCAACAUACCGUCCGCGGACAGGCUGAGCCGGUACGAGAUACGGCAGGCGGCGGUUGGGCACGCGGAGGAGGGGGCGAAGCGGAGAGCGCAGCAGGAGGAAGGUGCGAAGCUGGUGGAUCCAGGAGAGGGUACCUCGGGGCCGGGGACGUUUGAGGAGCCAGCGACGGAGACGUUGCCGGCCCUCUACUCCUCCACAAUGGUUAGCGGAGCCUGGUCCUGGGACGACGACGAUGAUGGCGAUGCAUGGUUUCCGCUUUGGAACUUCUGAAUGCCACAUUGGAUUGGAGCUCCACACCACUCAGAGAGGUUUUUGCUGCCACAUAUAUAUAUAUAUAUAUAUAUAUAUAUAUAUAUAUAUAUAAUGUUCUUUUCUCUGUUUUUUAGAUCUUGUGUCAUUAAUUCGUUAUCAUUCUUCUCCACCUGAUCAAGAUCCAUAAUAAGAAGAAAAUGAUCUUCAAUUUGAAGCAACAUAAUUCAUGUUAUUCCUUCUUGUAAAUUACACGGUUAGAUAAGAUUUCUCUAAGAAAUCUCUCUAUUCUGUUGAGAAAAAUUCUCUCUCCUAAUCUAUAUAAAUAGGAGAGAGGCAUGUGAAUGUAUUAAAGCUAAAGUUACUUCAAUAAAAUUUUUUUAAUAAUUAUUCUUAUCUUUUAUUAUUUUUCAUCGGGUUCAUCAUAAUGAUUAUUUAUGUAAAGUAGUGCUUUACACUUUACUAAACCACAAAGAGAGAUGUAUAUAUACAUACGCAACUCUUAGUCCUCCUAUUAAGGUUGAAUUCAUGUUGGAGCGUGACUGCUGUUUUGACCCUAAAGACAGCUACGAUGGUGAAUCUAGUUGUAUACUGGACGAUACUAACCGAUGAUUGCGCGAGUAGACCCGUAGACUAAAUACUUGAAGAUGAGUCAAAACAAUGACUUGUGGUCCAUAUAAAAUUCUUUUUUUAUGUUAAACCUUUUAAAUGAAGUGACGGAAUGAUCCAUCCAACAUAUUUUACCGCAUGUUUUAGUGUCAUCGGUUGGUUUUAUAUUCUUCAAAGCUCCAACUUGAUUGUGUUUCAUUCCUCCAGUCGCCAACGUUAUUUUUGCCUCAGCUUAGUCAGGUCUUCUUUUAAUGUCUGUGUAUACAUACGUAUAUACGAUUGCAGGAACACUAACCAUCAUGUUUCUCCUCUUCGGCUCAUUCCAACUUCUGUCGUUGACUCCACUAAAUCCAUUGUUUAUGGGUUCAUUGCAGGUAGACGCAAUGUAUUGGCUGCUUGUUUCUGUGUGCCAAUGUAUGUUUUGCUUUGCCGACGAGGCGUCACACAUCAUCUGAUGACUCGAACUGACCACCAAAUCAUGCGUCCCCAUUUUUUCUUUUGAUCUCCGCCGUUAUUUUUUUUUUGUACGACAAAAUCAAAAUCAAAAUGUUGACUUUGACCAAAUUGAAUCAACGGAGGAGGUAACUAUGGGAUAUGGUUAGACAAGUUUCACAUGCAUAUCAAACGUACACAUCACCCUCUCAAUUCAAUUAGGCAAAUCCGGUGACACGAUGUGUCACGAUGGGUCUAAUUAAUUGAAGCUUGCUAUUGCUAAUCCCAUUUUAAUGAUUAUAUAUACCCUUGGAAGCAUAUAAAUAUAUGAUGUAUAUGACCACUCUAAUUGAAGUUACAAGCUUUUGUUGGCUCCAGCCCAUACGUGGGCUUGGACAAAUUGGAUCGUUUGAACCUAAAUUAAAGAAAUAAUAAAAAAAAAACAAAAGAUGAACGUGCAGCGUGCGGCGACAUAGAGAAGAGAGGAAAGAGGAGAGAGAAAGAUUAGAUUUCUAAGUUUUCUGCUUAACGAUCGAUGGCUAAAUUUUAUCAGUUUUGACCCAAAUUUUAUGUGGAGAAUUCUUGCAGUAAACUCUAUAAUCCUAAUGGUGUUGAUAUACAUUUUACCCUCUUUGAGGUAUUUUCCUGCUAUACCUACUUUAUGAGAUCUAGAAUUCUUUACGAGGAAAUCCAUCUGAUGAAGAUUUGCUAUUCUUAGCCAAGAUUUAUGUUCUUGAUGUUAUUGUGAUCCUCUAGUUAUUCUAGAGAAGAUCGAUUGUAAACCUGUUAUCAUUACUAUUGAUAGUGGAAGUUUGAGGUGGACUAUCGUCCCGUAGUUUUUCCUAUAUUGGGUUUUCCAUGUUAAAAAGAUUUGGUCUCACCGUGUGAUUGAUUAUUUGCUCUAUUAUUUAUGCUGUGCUGGUUGAUAUAUUUAUUUGGAUAUCAAGUUGGUAUUUUGAUAAGGAACUCAUUUUGAUACAUAAAGAGGGAAAAGAAUAUUCCGCUUUAACAUAUUUUUUUUCCCAACAACAAGUUGUUUUGUACUAGUUUUUUCUUGUGUGAUUGAAAUGGAGCAGUCAGAUGAUAUGAUUAAAUUGAACUCAUCAAAUUAUUCCACUUGGAAGAGUCUGAUGGAAGAUUUGCUCUAUUGCAAAGAUUUGUAUAAGCCUAUCAAGGUUAAAGAUAAACCUUCUACUAUGGACGAUGAAGAAUGAGAAGUUUAACAUAGAAAAGCUAUUGCCUAUAUUAGAAGAUGGAUUGAUAUAAACUUGCAUGAGUAUAUUUCAGAUGAAACCAGAGCUGAUAUUGUUUGGCAAAGGUUAGAAAAUCUCUUUACGAAAAAGAUAGUGGGAAAUAGAAUUUCUCUCCUCAGAAGGCUUGUAAAUUUGAAGUAUAAAGAUGGUGGUAACAUUGUUGAGCACAUAAGCCUAUUUCAGAGUCUUGCAAACAAGUUGGUUGCUAUGAAAAUGAAUAUAGAUGAUGAGAUGCAAAGAUUACUACUUCUCAGCUCUUUACCAGAAAGUUGGGAAACGUAUGUAAUGACUAUUUGCAACUCCACGCCAAAGGGAACUCUAACUAUAGAUAUGGUUAAAGAUAGUUUGCUAAAUGAAGAUGCCAAAAGGAACGAAUAGGAUGAAUCUUCUUCUGGUGCAUUUGUUACUGAAAAAAAAGAAAGACGUGGAAGAAGUCAUAGCAGAAACCCAUAUGGAUAUAGAGGAAGAUAUAAGUCUAGAAGAGAUAUUAUAUGUUUUCAUUGUAACAGGCCAGGUCACAUGAAGAAAGAGUGUAGGUUUUGGAAUUGAGAAUAGAAUGAAAUGAAGAAAAAUGAGAAAGAGACCAAUACAAUUGCUGCUGAAGGUAAUAUCACUAUUGUCUGUGAUGAAUAUUGUGUUAGUCUUGUAGCUUAAGACAGUAAUUGGGUAAUUGACUCUGGUGCUUCAUUUUAUGUUACUUCUCAUAGUGAUUUCUUUAGAUCUUACACUGCUAGUAAUUUUGGUAAUGUCAGAAUGGGAAACAGUGGUACAUCUAAGAUUAUGUGUAUUGGAGAUAUUUGCUUAGAGACUAGUAUUUGGAGCAAAUUGAUACUCAAAGAUGUAAGGCAUGUUCCAGAUAUUCGUCUUAACUUGAUAUCUGCAGGUAGACUAGAUUAUGAGGGCUUUGAACAUUAUUUUGGUGAAAGUAAAUGAAAACUCACUAAAGGUUAUCUAAUUGUGGCAAGAGAAAAAAAACUUAACUCUUUUUAUGUCAUGGAAGAUAAGCUACACAAAAGAGAGAUUAAUACAAUUCAAAAAGGUGAAAGUAUAGAUCUUUGGCAUAAGAGGCUUGGACAUAUCAGCGAGAAGGGACUUCAAACUCUUGUUAGAAAAUAGUUUUUACUAGAGCUGUAAGGUACAUCUCUUAAAUCUUAUGAUCAUUGCCUAACUGGAAAAACACAUAGAGUUUCAUUUUAGACAUAUCCAUCAUCAAGAAGAUCAAAUGUUAUUGAUUUAGUUCAUACUGAUGUCUACACUAUGCAAACUAGAACUCUUGGAGGUGCUUUUUAUUUUGUUACUUUUAUUGAUGACUAUUCUAGAAAAGUAUGGGCUUUUUGCUUUGAAAUCUAAAGACCAGGUACUCGAUGUUUUCAAGGAGUUUCAUGUUAGUGUUGAAAGAGAAACUGACAUAAAACUAAAGUAUAUUCGAUCAGAUAAUGGUGACGAGUACAGGGGUCCUUUUGAGAAUUAUUACAAGUUCCAUGGUAUCAGGCUUGAUAAAACAGUUCCUAAAACUCCUCAAUAGAACGGUGUGGCAGAAAGGAUGAACAGAACCAUUAAAGAAAGGAUUAAGUGUAUGCUUUCCCACGCCAAGUUGCCAAAGUCAUUUUGGGGGGAGGCUAUGAGAACUACAAUUGAUCUGAUAAAUCUUUCUCCAUCAAUUCCUUCGAAAGGUGAUGUUCCAGAGAGAGUAUAGAGAGGAAAAGAUAUAUCUUAUAAUCACUUAAGAAUCUUUGGGUGUAAAGCAUUUUUUCAUAUUCCCAAAGAUGAGAGGUCCAAGCUUGAUAGUAAAACAAAAGCAUGUAUCUUCUUGGGAUAUGAUCAUGAAGAGUUUGGGUACAAAUUAUGGGAUCCAGUGAACAAAAGAUUAUUAGAAGCAGAGAUGUUAUGUUUCUUGAAGACCAAUUGUUUGAUGAUGAUGAUAAUAUUGAGAAGCUAGAAACCUCUGUUUAUAUUCCUUGGAGUUUGGGUCCAGUUCCUUCACUUGUAGUUCAUGAUGAUCAUGGGGGAGAUGAACAAGAAGAUUAUGGUGAGAAUACCAGUGAUGAUACACCUACAGUUGAUGAUGCUGAACCAACUGAAUAGGCACCUUCACCACCAGUUGAGAUUCCAUUGAGAAGAUCCACUAGAGAGCGACAACCAUCUACCAGAUAUCCUCCACAUGAGUAUAUUAUGCUUACUGACGGGGGAGAGCCAGAAACUUAUCAAGAAGCUAUUCUACAUGAGCAUAAGAAUGAAUGGGUUAAAGCCAUGUAAGAAGGGAUGAGAUCCUUGCUUGAGAAUCACACCUAUGACUUAGUAAAAUUAUCUAAAGAGAAGAAAUCUCUCAAGAAUAAGUGGGUUUAUAAAUUGAAGACUGAAAACAAUAGCUCACAACAAAGAUACAAGGCACUAUUAGUUGUGAAAGGAUUUAGUCAGAAGAAAGGUAUUGACUUUGAAGAAAUAUUUUCUCCAGUUGUGAAAAUGUCCUCCAUCCGAGUUGUUCUUGGUUUAGUUGCCCGCUUGAAUUUAGAAGUUGAGCAACUUGAUGUAAAAACAUCAUUUCUUCAUGGUGACUUAGAAAAAGAAAUUUACAUGGAGCAACCAGAAGGUUUCAAAGUCAAGGGAAAAGAAAAUAUAGUGUGUAAGCUUAGGAAAAGCUUAUAUGGACUCAAACAGACACCUAAACAGUGGUAUAAGAAGUUUGAUUUCUUUAUGAUAAGCCAAGGGUAUGAUAGAACCACAUCUGAUCAUUGUGUGUUUAUGAAGAAAUUUUCAGAUGAUGAUUUUAUUAUUUUACUGCUAUAUGUUGAUGAUAUGCUGAUUGUUGGCCAUGAUGUUGGAAAAAUUGGAAAGCUUAAAAGAGAGCUAAAUAAGUCUUUUGCCAUGAAAGACUUGGGAUCGGUGAAGCAAAUACUUGGCAUGAAGAUUCUUCGUGAUAGGAAGAAAAAAAAGAUUUGGCUAUCUCAGGAGACUUACAAUAAAAAGGUUCUUGAAAGAUUCAACAUGAGUAAAACCAAAACAGUUUGUUCUCCACUUGCAAGUCAUUUCAAGCUUAGUUCGAAACAAUGUCCUACAAGUGAGGAAGAAAAAGAAGAAAUAUCUAUAGUGCCUUACUCAUAUGCAGUAGGCAGUUUGAUGUAUGCUAUGGUUUGUACUAGGCCACAUAUAGCUCAUGCAGUUGGAGUUGUCAGUUGAUUUCUCUCAAAUCCUGGAAAGGAACAUUGGAUAGCAAUGAAAUGGAUAUUAAGAUAUCUAAGAGGUACUUCCAGGUUGUAUUUAUGUUUUAACAAUGAUGAACCUGUGUUAGAAGGUUACACAGAUGCAGACAUGGUAGGUGAUACUGAUUCUAGGAAGUCCACUUCGGGAUUCUUGAUGACAUUUGUAGGAGUAGUAGUCUCUUAGCAGUCUAAGUUAUAGAAGUGUUUUACUCUAUCAACCACAAAAGCAGAAUACAUAGCAAUUACUGAAGCCUGCAAGGAAGCUUUAUGGAUGAAAAAGUUUCUACAGGAAUUGGGCUUGAAAUAGGAAGGAUAUACUGUUUACUGUGACAGUCAGAGUGUCAUUCACCUCUCCAAGAAUUCAACGUACCAUUCUAGAUCCAAGCAUAUUGAUAUGAAAUAUCAUUGGAUUCGUGAUGUGCUUGAGAUGAAAGAAUUAUAGUUGGAAAAAAUACAUAUUAACGAGAAUGAAUCAGAUAAGUUGACAAAGUCUUUGCCUAAGAAGAAGCUUGAAGCAUGUAGGAGAAGAGCGAGCUUGGUACAACCCACCAUAUGAGCUGGAGGGGGAGAAUUGUUGGGUUCAGCCCAUAUGUGGGCUUGGACAAAUUGGAUCGUUUGAGCCCAAAUCAAAGAAAUUAAAAAGAGAGAGAGAAAGGGCAAAAGGUGUUGAUCUAUAUUUUACCUUCUCUGAGGUACUUUCAUGCUAUACCCACUUUGUGAGACCUAGAAUUUUCUUACGAGAAAAUCCAUCUGAUGAAGAUUUGCUAUUCUUGAGCCAAGAUUUAUAAUCUUGGUGUUAUUGUGAUCCUCUAGUUAUUUUAUAGAAGACCGUUGAUAGUAGAAGUUUGAGGUAGACUACGGUUCCGUGGUUUUUCCCAUAGGGUUUUCCACGUUAAAAAGAUUUGGUCUCACUGUAUGAUUGAUUAUUUACUCUAUUGUUUAUACUAUGUUGGUUAAUAUUUUUAUUUGAAUAUCAAAUUGGUAUUUUAAUAAGAAACCAUUUUGAUACCGAAGACGAAAAAAAAUAUUCCGUGUUUUUUUUUUCAACAGCUUUCACAUACAUGCAAUCGCUGUGCGGUCACAGGGAAAGUAGGAUCUCACGUCAUGGGAUCAUCUUCUCGGGCAGUAACAGAGACGAUGGGAAGGAAGCUGCAGCGGUUCCCACUAAAGUUUCUGCCAAACCAUACGAAGCCAAAUGGUUUUUCCUCGUCUGUAGAACUAAGGACGCGUGUGGCUCUCGCUCUAUUUCGUGAGGCUUAGCUUUGUUACAACUUGCACUUCUCCUAAUUAGCAGGCCAUGUCGGUGUCACAUUUAUUGUUUGGAUUAAUCUUUCAACCACCAACAAACACGGCAACCAUGCCCGAGUGCAUGUCGCAGACAUAUCGGUUUCAUCUCUGGCUGUUGCCCAUUCAUAAACAGUGGUUGACGGAGCUCGAUGAACCCGCUGCAUGCCACUAAACUCCUCCUGCAUUUACUGAGGGGAAUUAUUCUCCUCGAGAGUUUGUCUCUCGUCUUGGCAUCAGUGGAUUCCAUCGCUUUGCUGUUAAACUGUCCUUUAAGGUGGUGUGGUCUGAUGCAUGGAUCGGGAGUCCAUCUCCUAGCUUGCAUCUGUUGCUUUCUUUUCGUCGAGGCAUGCAGCAUGCGAGGAAAGGGAAGCCUCCGAGUGGCAGUGCCAACAGUGCACAGAGGAUGUUGUUGAUGAUUAAAGAGAGGAUGAUAAGUAUUCUUCUUCUUCUUCUUCCAUUCCAAACUCUGUUAGACGAUGACUUGUGCGAGGAAAAGGACUGCCAUAAUCUUUCUUACCCAUAUCAUGACAGAAACUUUGGGAUGGGAGGCCAUGUGGUGGAGUUUUCAAGUAUGGAAUAUAAGGUCUUUCUAAGUCAUUUCCUCCCAUUUUAACUGAGAUUUAAAGCUAUCUUUAGUCAACUAAAUUCCUAUAGUUUUGAUACAUAAUGAGUCAAUGAGUUCGUGCUAAAGUUAUCUUUUAGUUGGUUGAUGGAGUCUGCAUGGCCUCUAGUAGCGAAGGGGAGGUAUGAAAGAGAAAGCUAUGCACACCUCAAAUGUAGAAAAAUCAUUUUGAUUGGAAACAGCUGCACCUCCAUUCAAUGGAAAUUGAUGUUUAUCCAACUACACACUCUUCGGGUUGGUGCGAACAUUAACUCUCACUCACCCACCUCCCUCUUUAUACAAAGCCUUCCCCUCCUCGACCACACAACCCACAGCCUCUUCUCGAGAGAAGGAGUGGAGAAGAGGAGAGAGAGAGAGAGAGAGAGAGGAUGUCAGGCGAGCACACGCUUCUGUCGACGGAGAUCGUGAACAGGGGAAUCGAGGCCUCUGGUCCCGAUGCGGGAUCGCCGACCUUCUCAGUCAGGGUGCGGAGGAGGCUGCCGGACUUUCUGCAGUCGGUGAACCUCAAGUACGUGAAGCUGGGCUACCACUACCUCAUCAGCCAUGCGGUGUACUUGGCCACGAUACCGGUGCUGGUGGUGGUGUUCAGUGCCGAGGUGGGAAGUCUGAGCAGGGAGGAGCUGUGGAGGAAGAUGUGGGAGGAGACGAGCUACGAUCUCGCCACUGUACUUGCCUUCUUCAGCGUCCUCGCGUUCACCAUUGCCGUCUACUUCAUGUCUAAGCCCAGGCCCAUCUACCUCGUCGACUUCGCCUGCUACCGACCCUCCGAUGAUCUGAAGGUAAUGGCACACUCCUGCAAGCUCGCCUCCAUGGUUGUCAGCACUUCCACAGAUCUUAGAUUCUGUACCAGACUCAAGAGUUUAGCCAGUACACCGGACUGCACCAAUACGUGCUCUGCUUUUCUCAGGCGUCCAACGCGGAGUUCAUAGAGAUGGCCAGGAAGUCCGGCAAAUUCGACGAGGAAAGCUUGUCAUUCCAAUCCCGGAUCUUGAAGUCCUCCGGCAUCGGCGACGAGACCUACGUGCCCAAGUCCGUAUUCUCCACGGGCAACUGCGCCACCAUGAAGGAAGGCCGCGCCGAGGCCUCCAUGGCCAUGUUCAGCGCCCUGGACGAGCUCUUCGAGAAGUGCCGCGUCCGGCCCAAGGACGUCGGGGUCCUCGUCGUCAACUGCAGCCUCUUCAACCCCACGCCCUCCCUCUCCGCCAUGAUCGUGAACCACUACAAGAUGCGGGGCAACAUACUGAGCUACAACCUCGGCGGCAUGGGGUGCAGCGCCGGCAUCAUCGCGCUCGACCUCGCCCGCGACAUGCUGCAGGCCAACCCCAGCAGCUACGCCGUCGUGGUGAGCACCGAGGCGGUGUCCUUCACCUGGUACACCGGCCGCAACCGGUCGAUGCUCAUACCCAACUGCUUCUUCCGCAUGGGGUGCUCCGCCGUGCUGCUCUCGAACCGCAGGCGAGACUUCCGCCGGGCCAAAUACCGUCUCGAGCAUAUCGUGAGGACCCACAAGGGCGCCGACGACCGGAGCUUCAGGUAUCCAUCUACCUUUGCUGUAGCCUCCUUCACGUUGAUGGUAGAUAGCAUUGAUGGUGCAAUUUGAGAUCUAAUCUAACCAGGAGGAUCAAAGAGGUUAGCUGAGAGUCAGUUCUUAGCAGCUGAGCUACAUUUACUAAGUUCACCUAAUUCUAAUAGCAUUUAAGGUCACAGCUGAGCCGAAAUUAAAUGACAACAGAGCAAGUGGUCGGAUAACGUUCAUUGCUUGCACACACAUUGCACACAAAGAAAUCAUAGCACCGAUGGUUGGUGAUACGUCAACGAGCACAAUUAGAUCUUCUUCUCUCCAAAGCGACAGCUGGUUUUGUGGCGUCGCCGGACCAGGUUAGCACGCUACCUCCUGUUUCUGAUGUACUGAUAAGCUACUGGGGCUGCGAUCUCUUCCUCAGGUGUGUGUAUCAGGAGGAGGAUGACCAAAGAAUCAAGGGCCUCUCCAUCAGUCGUGACCUCAUGGAGGUAGGAGGGCACGCACUCAAGGCCAACAUCACCACCCUCGGUCCCCUCGUCCUCCCUUUCUCCGAGCAGCUCCUCUUCUUCGCCACCCUUCUCCACCGCCACCUCUUCUCCAAGCCCGCCGACUCCGCCAACGCCGCCGCCACCAAACCUUACAUUCCCGACUACAAGCUCGCAUUCGAGCACUUCUGCAUCCACGCCGCGAGCAAGGCGGUGCUGGACGCGCUCCAGAAUAACCUGGAGCUCGAGGACCGCCACAUGGAGGCGUCCCGCGCCGCCCUCCACCGCUUCGGCAACACCUCCAGCAGCAGCAUCUGGUACGAGCUCGCCUACCUGGAAGCCAAGGGCCGAGUGCGCGGCGGCGACCGGGUGUGGCAGAUCGCGUUCGGGUCGGGCUUCAAGUGCAACAGCGCGGUGUGGAAGGCGAUGCGGCGAGUGCGGAGGCCGAACCGCAACCCUUGGCUCGACUGCGUCGACCGAUACCCGGUCGGCCGCUAGGGUUUUGGAACCCGGCCGCGUCGGAGGCCUUGGUGAAUGCAUGCCAUGUGUUUGCUUUUAUUUGCUGCGUUUAUGGUGAUUAAGACUCAGCUUGAAGCUAUCCUGCUGUUUCAAUUGAUGGUGUCGUUUACAGUUUGGAUGUGCCGAUCGUUCGCUCGAAAUCGUCUAUGUAUUGAUGAAGUUAGUGUAUACUGUUAACUAUAUUGCUUGCCAUAUAGUUAGUAUAUACUGUUGCUUAUUUCUCUCGCUUCCUUCAUCGAGCAUAAACCCGUUAAUCCGCAUCUUUUGAAUCCUGCGGUGCAUUUUAAUCUCGCAUCGGAAGGUGCUAAGCCGAACCCCUUCGCCUCAAAUGUUGCUCCGUCUCAAGGCAAAGGAACUGGUUUAUUAUAUGAUUCCAAGAGACAUCACAACCUUCUUGGUCAUCCGACCGGGAUUGGUUCCCCUCUCUCUCGCUGGGGUUUCAUCGUCUGUCGCUGCCCUCUCGAUGUUCUUCCCUCUCCCUGCCGUCGGUUCUUCGAUUCUUUUAGUCAUUCAUUUUAUUUUGCGUCGAGAUCAGUGCAGAUCUUGGAUUUCGUCGUGCUACUGCUCAAUUUGUCCAUGAAUGCCGAAAAUUUUUCAGAUUUGACGGUUCUUUUGUGCUUAAUUUAAUUUAAGAUUUCAGGUGUGAAAUUGUCCGGGGAGUAAUGGCGGCCUUGCAGCCGUAUGGAUGUGCGGUGGUAGGAGCGAGUUGCUUUCCUUCCUUUGCAGGUUGGAACCUUCGGGUUGGUGUUCAAACGGAGGGGCUACCAUGGCAUUCCUCGUCGAGGCUUGUCGCUUCCAAGGUAUAGAGACGUAGGCUCGUAUUAUUGUCAAGAUUAGUUUUUUGUGUUCAUUCG